UACGAAGGGUGCAAGCGUUACUCGGAAUUACUGGGCGUAAAGCGUGCGUAGGUGGUUUGUUAAGUCUGCUGUGAAAGCCCCGGGCUCAACCUGGGAAUGGCAGUGGAUACUGGCAGGCUAGAGUGCGGUAGAGGGGUGUGGAAUUCCCGGUGUAGCGGUGAAAUGCGUAGAGAUCGGGAGGAACACCAGUGGCGAAGGCGGCACCCUGGACCAGCACUGACACUGAGGCACGAAAGCGUGGGGAGCAAACAGG
rnacentral:rRNA from 1 species